CAGCCGCCGCGCGGGGGGUUUGUUUAUUUUCUCGGUUGGUCGCGGCGCUGGCGCGGAGUAGAGGUUCACCGGUGACGUGAGCGCCCGGAGUUGGGGGAAAGCACCAGAACCACCUGCUGGAGAAGGGGAGCUACGGGGGCCGGGCAGGGUCCAAACGUCUCACGUAGGCGGCGGCGCCGCGGUCUGCGGGGUCACACAGAAGGGCUCUCCCGGAGCGGUGCAAGACGGGAGGCCUCCCGAGAGAAUAGGAGUCCAGGCCACUGCCCCGCAGCUGGGCGGAAUCACCUGCGGCGUGGAGAGCUGUUAGAGGGCCCUGGGUGCAAAAAGGCGGUGGGACCUGGUAGCCUUGGUUCCCAGCAACACAGGGCUCACCUCCAGGCAAGCGAAUGAAGUAGGGGGGGUCCUGCAAGUCAAUGGCCCAGCAGCAUUGGCAUCAUGAAGUUUGUUAAAAAAUCAGUAUCUCAGAUCCUACCCCAGACCUGCUGAACCAGCAUCUUGAAUUUAACAAGAACUCCAAGAUAUUUGUACCACAGCAAAGUUGUGAGAAGCGCUAAUCUAGAUGAGAGAAGCUAGCAAAGAAAGGGGGAAGAUAAAGUGGAAGGAGAGCCAGGGUAGUGGAAUCAUCAAAGCAAGAUGCUGACUUCAAGCCUCUAAGGUUGACAGAGAUACAAGAAAGAACGUGCCUGGAUGAAAGAGAGCUGCCUAUCUACAGCCAUACCACCCUGAACGCACCUGAUCUCAUCCGUCUGAUCUUGAGAGCUAGCUAUCCACUGACCUGGAACAUCCAAUGAUUCAUCUGUCUUCUCAGAACUAUUGGAAUCCUGGAUCAUUGUGGAGAGUGAAAGACGAAGUGGACAGUGAGAAGCUAAAGACUCUUGUAUAACAUCUAGAUAAUUCCCAGUUUUAACUCCAAAAUGGACAUUAUAAGCUCUUAUACCUUCAAAUCUACAAGCUUGGGGCUCCAACUUAACACCUUGGAAAGACACCCUGAUUCUUCAACCCUCUGCACAGCCAUCCAAGUUAAGUUAUAAAACAGGGCAGUAAAGGCUUAAAAUGCUUCUUCAGCUGCCACUUAGCCCCUAAUCGAAUUAGUUUUUAAUUCCUUUCAUCAAUUCAAUGAGCAAUAAUCUAAUUUCAUGCUAUCCUUUCUCCUGUUUCUUAACUAACCCCCUUAAUUUCCUCCCAAUCACUCCAAUCUAAAACACUACAAGAUUCAGCUAGGUAUGUGAUUCCCAGGUACUCACCUUUUCUCAGCAAUUUUCCCUUGCUUUGAUAAGGAUAUCAACAAUAAAUAUUUACAGAGAAACUUCAGGGUCAUUAGGUCAUCUUUGUCUAAUAAAGUAAGGUAUAGGUACCACUGCUGGCUGAAUUAAAAUUUUGAAAAAAUACAAAGUCUUGGGCAAUUUGAUAGCCAAUAAAUGAAUCAUCUAUUACAUAGUUUAAAAAAAAUAAAUGCGAGAGGAGCCAUAGGUUCCCCUAAAUGAAAACAAUUAUAUAACUAAAAGGUAUUUUACUGUAAUUUGGAUUUUGUGUAUCUAUUUGGCUGGACAAAGUGUGGAAUAUACUCCCCAACAUUGAGCCUUUCUGAACCGUGGAAAGGUAUCCAUUGUAUGUAAUGAGUUACCUAGUGUCACUCACGAAGGAUGUAUAGAGAAAAGUUAGGUGCCCUCCUUGGAAAAAUUGAGAAAAGAGUCCCUGAAAUCAUUUUCUGUGUUCUGUGAUUUCAGAUGAAAAACUCCAGCUGAGAAGGUGGCCAUACUCAAGGAAAGUAUAAUAUUAGUUUCCUAAUGCCUGUCAGUGCCAGGAAGGGGCCACGUCCAUGGAUCACUAUGUGAGGACAUCUCAGUCUCUCUAGUCAAGCAUGGUUUAUGGUGCCAAACAGGUGCCAGGUGAACUCAUUACAUCUGACAAAGUCUCAGGGAAACCAAAUUUACCAGAUUUAUCACUUUUAUGAUUAUGUGAAAGAGACUGAGGAAAUCACUCAAGUGAUCCAUCAUACAGCACCUCCAGUUCCAAAGAAUACUGACUUACUUCAGGUGAUAAC